rnacentral:sRNA from 1 species
UUCCGCCGAGUCCGCUGCCGAACGCAAU